GACGAGCGCUGGCGGCGUGCUUAACACAUGCAAGUCGAACGGAAAGGCCCUGCUUUUGUGGGGUGCUCGAGUGGCGAACGGGUGAGUAACACGUGAGUAACCUGCCCUUGACUUUGGGAUAACUUCAGGAAACUGGGGCUAAUCCCGGAUAGGAGCUCCUGCUGCAUGGUGGGGGUUGGAAAGUUUCGGCGGUUGGGGAUGGACUCGCGGCUUAUCAGCUUGUUGGUGGGGUAGUGGCUUACCAAGGCUUUGACGGGUAGCCGGCCUGAGAGGGUGACCGGCCACAUUGGGACUGAGAUACGGCCCAGACUCCUACGGGAGGCAGAAGUGGGGAAUAUUGCACAAUGGGCGGAAGCCUGAUGCAGCAACGCCGCGUGCGGGAUGACGGCCUUCGGGUUGUAAACCGCUUUCGCCUGUGACGAAGCGUGAGUGACGGUAAUGGGUAAAGAAGCACCGGCUAACUACGUG
rnacentral:rRNA from 1 species